AUUGAACGCUGGCGGCAUGCCUUACACAUGCAAGUCGAACGGCAGCACGGGAGCAAUCCUGGUGGCGAGUGGCGAACGGGUGAGUAAUAUAUCGGAACGUGCCCAGUAGUGGGGGAUAACUGCUCGAAAGAGCAGCUAAUACCGCAUACGACCUGAGGGUGAAAGGGGGGGAUCGCAAGACCUCUCGCUAUUGGGUCGGCCGAUAUCAGAUUAGCUAGUUGGUGGGGUAAAGGCCUACCAAGGCAACGAUCUGUAGUUGGUCUGAGAGGACGACCAGCCACACUGGGACUGAGACACGGCCCAGACUCCUACGGGAGGCAGCAGUGGGGAAUUUUGGACAAUGGGCGCAAGCCUGAUCCAGCAAUGCCGCGUGCAGGAAGAAGGCCUUCGGGUUGUAAACUGCUUUUGUCAGGGAAGAAAUCCUCUAGGUUAAUACCCUUGGGGGGAUGACGGUACCUGAAGAAUAAGCACCGGCUAACUACGUGCCAGCCGCCGCGGUAAUAC
rnacentral:rRNA from 1 species